rnacentral:rRNA from 1 species
AUUGAACGCUGGCGGCAGGCCUAACACAUGCAAGUCGAGCGCGCGGCGGACGGGUGAGAAAUGUCUGGGAAACUGCCUGAUGGAGGGGGAUAACUACUGUAAACGCUAGCUAAUACCGCAUACCCUCAGAUGUGCCCAGAUGGGAUUAGCUAGUAGGUGGGGUAUCGGCUCACCUAGGCGACGAUCCCUAGCUGGUCUGAGAGGAUGACCAGCCACACUGGAACUGAGACACGGUCCAGACUCCUACGGGAGGCAGCAGUGGGGAAUAUUGCACAAUGGGCGCAAGCCUGAUGCAGCCAUGCCGCGUGUGUGAAGAAGGCCUUCGGGUUGUAAAGCACUUUCAGCGGGGAGGCGUUACCCGCAGAAGAAGCACCGGCUAACUCCGUGCCAGCAGCCGCGGUAAUAC